GACGAACGCUGGCGGCGUGCCUAAUACAUGCAAGUCGAACGCAGUGGGGACGGGUGAGUAACACGUGGGUAACCUCCCAUCAGAGGGGAUAACACUUGGAAACAGGUGCUAAACCGAUACUGAUGGAUGGACCCGCGGUGCAUUAGCUAGUUGGUGAGGUAACGGCUCACCAAGGCCACGAUGCAUAGCCGACCAGAGAGGGUGACAGGCCACACUGGGACUGAGACACGGCCAAGACUACUACGGGAGGCGGCAGUAGGGAGUCUUAGGCAAUGGACGAAAGUCUGAGCGAGAAGUGCCGCGUGAGUGAAGAAGGUUUUCGGAUCGUAGAACUCUGUUGUGGUAGAAGCGGUAGCUAACCAGAAAGCCACGGCAAACUACGUGCCAGCAGCCGCGGUAAUAC
rnacentral:rRNA from 1 species